GAUGCCGGAUGAGAACUGCUCUCGGCGGCUUAUCAACCCAGCCGGUUUUAUCACCGCCAGCGAUCCGAGCUUUCGCCAUUUGUUCUCGAGCUUACGAUCCGCCAGAGCUACCGGGGGACUCCCGUCCUCUGACCGCCACCCGAUCUCCCGAUCUCUCGACAGCGAUUUCGCGUUCCUUGUUCGGUUCUUUUUCUGUACCACCAUAUAAAACAGGUUGCAAACAGAUCUGCGUUGGCAUUUCCGAUUUCCAGCUGGUGACGAAUGUUUCCCCGAAGUUAUAAAGGAUUACAGAUACUCUAGGCAUCUUGGAAGCAAUUAACUGAUAACGGGGAUUUGGAGCGUAGUCACAGCAACAACUUCAUUCAUCACAAUACACAAUUUGAUCUCUCAAUGAGUGCCUCAGUAAGGAUCUUUCACAAAAAAAGCGCUGAUAAAAGUUGAACUGCUACCUCACGCAUUUCCAAAACCUUUUUUGCGAUACAUUAAGCUACUGAAGAAAUUGAAAAGCUUAAAUACAUACAUUUGAAAGUGGUUUUCGCAUCAAAAUUGAUUCACAUAGGCCUACGUCAUUAUCUGAUUGCAAACAGAUCAGAAAAUGUUCUUUAAAUGUUCUUCAAACGAAAGGAAGAUAAACAUAUUAAAUAAAUUGACGAUACUUGCAUGUACUAAGCAAAUGCAUUAAUCCACCCGAAAAGAAAUCACUCGCCUCGCCCACAACUAUUCAUAAUCACGAUAUGCAUGCCGACAUGUCGAACAUUCAUUCAACCAGUGAUCAAUGCAAUUAAAUAAAAAGUGCUAAUGUUUCCCUUAUGUGGUUAAUGGGUAACGGCAAACCUAUUUUUAUCCUAAAAUGGAAGAAGAAGGUAGGCUUUUAAGGUAAAGGCAUUCGACCAAUUAUACAAUCUACUUAAAAUGAAGUUUUAAGUUGAAUAAUACUUUUAUGCAUAGUAGAACCUAAUAAUUGACCCCCAUCCAUCCAGUGGACAUGAUUCUGAUGCCUUGUCUCUAUAAAUUGCCCAUUACUCAUGGUGAGUAUUUGCAUGCCUUAAGGUUCUCCUCCGAAGGCGAUCCGCAUUGCUUAUGCAUUACGCUACCAGCUUGAUGAGCAGCUCUGU